GCACAGAUAGUUUAACUGGGAAAACACGCCGCUCAUAACGGCGGGGCCGAGGGUUCAAGCCCCUCUCCGUGCA
rnacentral:tRNA from 1 species